AUUGAACGCUGGCGGCAGGCCUAACACAUGCAAGUCGAGCGGAGCGGCGGACGGGCGAGUAAUGCCUAGGAAUCUGCCUGGUAGUGGGGGAUAACGUCCGGAAACGGGCGCUAAUACCGCAUACUAUCAGAUGAGCCUACGUACGAUUAGCUAGUUGGUGGGUUAAAGGCCUACCAAGGCGACGAUCCGUCACUGGUAUGCGAGGCUGAUCAGUCAAACUGGAACGGGAACACGGUGAAGACGCCUACGGGAGGCAGAAGUGGGGAAUAUUGGACAAUGGGGGAAAUCCUGAUCCAGCCCUGCCGGGUGUUUGAAGAGGGUCUUCGGAUUGUAAAGCACUUUAAGUUGGGAGGCGUUACCAACAGAAUAAGCACCGGCUAACUUCGUGCCAGCAGCCGCGGUAAUAC
rnacentral:rRNA from 1 species